rnacentral:rRNA from 1 species
UACGUAGGGGGCAAGCGUUAUCCGGAUUUACUGGGUGUAAAGGGUGCGUAGGUGGCUAUGCAAGUUUGAUGUGAAACCUUAAGGCUUAACCUUAAGCAUGCAUCAAAAACUGCAAAGCUAGAGUGCAGGAGAGGAAAGUGGAAUUCCUAGUGUAGCGGUGAAAUGCGUAGAUAUUAGGAGGAACACCAGUAGCGAAGGCGGCUUUCUGGACUGUAACUGACACUGAGGCACGAAAGCGUGGGGAGCAAACAGGAUUAGAUACC